CUUAUUGUCUCUUCAUUUUUCUUCUUCCUUUCUCUUUUAUUUCUCCUCCCCAGCAACUCCGCCUGUCCGCCGCCCGGCGGCGGCCAACGUCCAAACACCCCCAAAUUACACCAUUCUUUUCCUCUCAUCACCCUCUUUCUAGAUCCACAACCCAAAUCCCCCAAAUCUCCACCAAUAAUCAACAAAAUCAAACCCUAGUCGCGCCGUCACCACCCUAGCCGCCGCCCACCACCCCAAACUCCAAAAAUUUUACACCACCGGCCUCCUCUUCUCCCCCUCUUUCCAUAUCUCCGACUCAAAACAUCAAAAAACCCCACGCCGCCCUAGCGCCGCCGCCACUGCCCUAGCAUUGCCACCACUGCCGCCCACUGUCGCCUGUUUCUUUUCCCUAACCGGCUUCGAGCAAGGUUGUGUCGUUGAUAUUAUUGAAACCGGACUCGGAUUCACCGGAAUUUUUUGGUUUCAAGAAUAUCAACAAUAGAAGCUUGCUCGAAAGUCGUACCACUGCCUAUCUUCGUCUCCCGGAUGCUCGAGUAUAUGGUAAUUCUCUUAAAAUGCUACUGCAAUUUUGAGUCAGGAUUGAAUGGAGACGAAGCAAUUUGAAGUUUUUUUUUUGUUCAGUUUGUUCUAAGCUUCAAAAGCAUUAUGUUCUUGUACAGUUUUGUGUGUGAGUACAUAUGACAAGUUUUGGAUUUUC